rnacentral:rRNA from 1 species
AGAGAAGCAAUACCGCGAGGUGGAGCAAAACUUCAAAAAUAGGUCUCAGUUCGGACUGUAGGCUGCAACUCGCCUACACGAAGUUGGAAUUGCUAGUAAUCGUGGAUCAGCAUGCCACGGUGAAUACGUUCCCGGGCCUUGUACACACCGCCCGUCACACCAUGGGAGUUGGGAGUGCCCAAAGCCGGUGAGGCAACCGAAAGGAGCCAGCCGUCUAAGGCAAGACCAAUGACUGGGGUGAAGUCGUAACAAGGUAUC